rnacentral:pre_miRNA from 1 species
GUGUGAAUCACAGGGCGCUUCUCCCUUGGCACGGUGGCAUGCAUGUAUCGAUGAUGGCGGUAGCCUGGUCCCUGGUGAGUGUGCGGUGCAUGCAGGUAGUUAGCCGUGCGUGCCAAAGGAGAAUUGCCCUGCCAUUCGCCU